rnacentral:rRNA from 1 species
AUACGGAGGGUGCAAGCGUUACUCGGAAUCACUGGGCGUAAAGCGCGCGCAGGCGGGCUGAUAAGUUGGAUGUGAAAGCCUACGGCUCAACCGUAGAACUGCAUCCAAAACUGUCAGUCUAGAGUCUGGGAGGGGAAGAUGGAAUUAGUUGUGUAGGGGUAAAAUCCGUAGAGAUAACUAGGAAUACCAAAAGCGAAGGCGAUCUUCUGGAACAGUACUGACGCUGAGGCCCGAAAGCGUGGGGAGCAAACAGGAUUAGAAACCCUAGUAGUCC